rnacentral:rRNA from 1 species
UACGAAGGGGGCUAGCGUUGUUCGGAAUUACUGGGCGUAAAGCGCACGCAGGCGGCUCGAUAAAUUAGAAGUGAAAGCCCCGGGCUUAACCUGGGAAUUGCUUUUAAGACUGUCGGGCUAGAAUCCAGAAGAGGGUAGUGGAGUUCCGAGUGUAGAGGUGAAAUUCGUAGAUAUUCGGAAGAACACCAGUGGCGAAGGCGACUACCUGGUCUGGCAUUGACGCUCAUGUGCGAAAGCGUGGGGAGCAAACAGG